rnacentral:rRNA from 1 species
UACGGGGGGGGUAAGCGUUGUUCGGAAUUACUGGGCGUAAAGGGCUCGUAGGCGGCCAACUAAGUCGGACGUGAAAUCCCUCAGCUUAACUGGGGAACUGCGUCCGAUACUGGAUGGCCUGGAUUUGGGAGAGGGAUGCGGAAUUCCAGGUGUAGCGGUGAAAUGCGUAGAUAUCUGGAGGAACACCGGUGGCGAAGGCGGCAUCCUGGACCAAUAUUGACGCUGAGGAGCGAAAGCUAGGGGAGCAAACGGG